rnacentral:rRNA from 1 species
UGGGGAAUAUUGGGCAAUGGGCGAAAGCCUGACCCAGCAACGCCGCGUGAUUGAAGAAGGUCUUCGGAUUGUAAAGAUCUGUCCUAUGGGACGAACACAAUGACGGUACCAUAGGAGGAAGCCCCGGCUAACUACGUGCCAGCAGCCGCGGUAAUACGUAGGGGGCUAGCGUUGUCCGGAAUUACUGGGCGUAAAGGGUGCGCAGGCGGCAUUUUAAGUCAGAUGUGAAAUACCCGGGCUUAACCCGGGGGGUGCAUUUGAAACUGGAAUGCUUGAGUGCAGGAGAGGUAAGUGGAAUUCCUAGUGUAGCGGUGAAAUGCGUAGAUAUUAGGAGGAACACCAGUGGCGAAGGCGACUUACUGGACUGUAACUGACGCUGAGGCACGAAAGCGUGGGGAGCAAACA